UACGAAGGGGGCUAGCGUUGUUCGGAAUCACUGGGCGUAAAGGGCGCGUAGGCGGCCGGUCAAGUCGGGGGUGAAAGCCUGUGGCUCAACCACAGAAUGGCCUUCGAUACUGGACGGCUCGAGACCGGAAGAGGUGAGUGGAACUGCGAGUGUAGAGGUGAAAUUCGUAGAUAUUCGCAAGAACACCAGUGGCGAAGGCGGCUCACUGGUCCGGUUCUGACGCUGAGGCGCGAAAGCGUGGGGAGCAAACAGG
rnacentral:rRNA from 1 species